rnacentral:rRNA from 1 species
UGAGGAAUAUUGGGCAAUGCCCGCAAGGGUGACCCAGCAACGCCGCGUGGAGGAUGAAUGUCGUCAGAUUGUAAACUCCUGUUAGAGGGGAAGAAUAGUACCGGUUGGACCGGUAUAUGACUGUACCCUCAGAGAAAGCCCCGGCUAACUACGUGCCAGCAGCCGCGGUAAUACGUAGGGGGCAAGCGUUGUCCGGAUUUACUGGGUGUAAAGGGCGCGCAGGCGGGAUAAAAAGUCAGUGGUGAAAUCCUACAGCUUAACUGUAGGACUGCCUUUGAUACUUUUAUUCUUGAGUUCGGGGGAGAGAGACGGAAUUCCAGGUGGAGUGGUGAGAUACGUAGAUAUCUGGAAGAACACCAGUUGCGAAGGCGGUCUCUUGGUCCGACACUGACGCUGAGGCGCGAAAGCGUGGGGAGCAAACA